rnacentral:lncRNA from 1 species
CUCGCGGCUGGCGCAUGCGUACAGCCGUCUUUAAUGUCACGCAUGCGUACUACCGUCUCGCGUCUCGCGCAUGCGUAGUGCCGUCUCGACGCUCGCACAUGCGUACUGCCGUCUACGCCUUCGCGCAUGCGUACUACCGUCUCGCGUCUCGCGCAUGCGUACUGCCGUCUCCAGGCUCGCGCAUGCGUACGGCCCUCUACACUUUCGCGCAUGCGUACUGCUGUCUACACUUUCGCGCAUGCGCACUACCGUCUCCCGGCUCGCACAUGCGUAGUGCCACGUCCGA